rnacentral:pre_miRNA from 14 species
GUGUAUGUAUGUAUAUGCGUGUGUGUGCGUAUAUAUAUAUAUACACACACACGUAUAUAUAUAUAUAUAUA